rnacentral:rRNA from 1 species
GACGGCGCACGGGUGCGUAACGCGUAUGCAAUCUACCUUUUACAGAGGGAUAGCCCAGAGAAAUUUGGAUUAAUACCUCAUAGUAUUUUUCGGAUCGCAUGAUUUGAUUAUUAAAGUUCCAACGGUAAAAGAUGAGUAUGCGUUCCAUUAGCUAGAUGGUAAGGUAACGGCUUACCAUGGCAACGAUGGGUAGGGGUCCUGAGAGGGAGAUCCCCCACACUGGUACUGAGACACGGACCAGACUCCUACGGGAGGCAGCAGUGAGGAAUAUUGGUCAAUGGACGCAAGUCUGAACCAGCCAUGCCGCGUGCAGGAUGACGGUCCUAUGGAUUGUAAACUGCUUUUAUACAGGAAGAAACACACCCUCGUGAGGGUACUUGACGGUACUGUAUGAAUAAGGACCGGCUAACUCCGUG